rnacentral:guide_RNA from 1 species
AAAUAUAACAUGUGUAGAGUGUGAUAGAUUAAUUAGAGAUAAGAUAGAAC